AAAUAAAAAGCAAUAAUUGCACUUAAUUUCGACUUAAGACUUAAGAUUAAAAAAUCUUUUUAUUUU
rnacentral:tRNA from 1 species